ensembl:lncRNA
CGCGAGCAGCGCCCCAAAUCCCGCACAGAAAGGACUGUGCGCUCCUGAGCUGCCCGGCCUCACACCAACAGCUGCAUCGCCUCGAGCAGACCCAGCUCAGCCACAGGGCUGCUGUGUGAGCAUCCCCAGGUUCACUUCAGCCUCAUCAGCACAGUAAACGUGUGGUCUUUGAAGCUCCAAGAAAAGAACUUGAAAAACGUGACCUUUGGGCUUUGAUAUGAGACAACAAAUAAAAGUAAUCCAGAGGACAAUCCUUUCAAAAACACGCAUGGUGAAUGGAGAAAGGACAACAUGUUUUGCUUGGAGGCCAAGGCGGGCAGCGGGCUCAUCUAUCACCUUAGAGAAAUCCUCUAGUGCCAGGGAAAACCUGGCACUGCCAAAAGGCCGUGGCACACAGCACACUGCCCAGGGCUGCAUCCCCUCCAAUCCACACUCACUGCUCCGCCAUGGGAUGGACCCACCCCGAUGCUCCCGGAGUGCUUUGCUGAAGGAGCGGCAGAUGCGCGCCUGGCAGUGCUCCGGGGGGGACGUUUGUUCACCUGGCACCCGAGAGCACUUCAGCUCCAUGUCUCCAAAUCGACAUCUUCGCAUCACUUGGGAUCAAUGUCCGUGGGCCCACCAGGAUCCUGAAGCUACACCUCACACUGCUUCCAACGGGGAUGCUCUUCCACCAAAAGGAAAUAAAACGUGAGCUUCUGGGUGAUCCUGGGGUGGAAUGGACGAAGCCUGCUGGACCCGCUCUCACUGGGCCCUUUCAGAGCCAUACAUCAUUAUGGCGCUGUUGCCCUCAUGAUGUAUUGGUGUAAUGCAUCAUCAGAGCAGCACUGCUCCAGUGAUGCAUUGCUCUUCACACAGCGUUAGCCUCUCACCAGCCGAACGUCCACCAGCAAGAACACGUUCAGGACAGUCAGUACAUUUUAAUUUAUUAUUUUCCAAAACUUUUGGAGACUGGCACUGUUUAUUCCCACGGCUCAGCCUGGCUGUUGAACACGGGCGCAGUUCCAGCCCCGCUGUGAGCACCCCGCUGCCGGGAGCAGGAGAUGGGCAGUAACAGCUACCAAAGCUCCCUCCCACUGAAAGUCUUUUCCUUUCCUGAAUUGCACGGAAGUUUCAAACACUUCUCCCAAUUACUUCUCACCCCUUUUUGCUCACCUCCUCCUAUGGCUGCAAAGAGGGGAAAUGCAAAGGCAAGCAACGCGUCUGUUGCAACCAAAAAUGAUUUUGCUAUUUCAACGCUGGGAAAUCUGCAAGUCAAAGGUGAGGGAAUGACUGCAUGGAGCUGCUCUAUGAAAAAAUCACAAUCUGGCAGCCUGCAGCAGCCCGCGAUUGCUGGCAGAGUGGGAUUGCCAAUCAUUUUUAUACCUCUGCACUUUAAAUAGCAAUAAUGUGUUGAAUGUGAAAUUGCCUGUGCUGAUGUGGUUUGCUUCACGCUAUUAAAAUACAAGCGUCGGGACACACAUUACACAUUUGUGAUUCCUCUGAGACAUUGUUGGGGGGGAAAAUACAAACUCCAGGAGAAAAUUGAGGGGGAAUUAAGAGGCAAAGGGGGAGGGAGAAGUGGCCAACCAGGUCACUGAGAGAUCGCAAGUGUGCAGAAAGGAAACAGGGAGAACAUUGUUCGGCGCAUCUGGACACAGCCAGGAAAUGGCCAAUUAUUCCGAAGUCACCGGGGCACAUUAAGCGACGGAGAUUAUUUCCG